UUGAUAAGCGUGAGGUCGGAGGUUCAAGUCCUCCCAGGCCCACCAUUUUGUAUAAAUCUAUAAGCGUUUGUAGAACUUUCUUUUAUAAGGCUUGCUUAUACACUUAUAUAAAGCUUAUCUACGAAGAAGUUUCCUUAUCGGCAAUGUGAAGUUUUUUUCUUUUUCUUAAGCAAUCCGGAGUUAAAGUGGUUCAAAUGAACAGUGAUCCCAUAAAAGGUGAUUCUGAAUUGAAAAUUCAAAUUUAAAAAAAUUUGAACCUUUUCUCCUUUUUAGGGGCCGUAGCUCAGCUGGGAGAGCACCUGCUUUG
rnacentral:misc_RNA from 1 species